rnacentral:rRNA from 1 species
UAGAAUUCCAGGUGUAGCGGUGAAAUGCGUAGAGAUCUGGAGGAAUACCGGUGGCGAAGGCGGCCCCCUGGACGAAGACUGACGCUCAGGUGCGAAAGCGUGGGGAGCAAACAGGAUUAGAUACCCUGGUAGUCCACGCCGUAAACGAUGUCGACUUGGAGGUUGUGCCCUUGAGGCGUGGCUUCCGGAGCUAACGCGUUAAGUCGACCGCCUGGGGAGUACGGCCGCAAGGUUAAAACUCAAAUGAAUUGACGGGGGCCCGCACAAGCGGUGGAGCAUGUGGUUUAAUUCGAUGCAACGCGAAGAACCUUACCUGGUCUUGACAUCCACGGAAGUUUUCAGAGAUGAGAAUGUGCCUUCGGGAACCGUGAGACAGGUGCUGCAUGGCUGUCGUCAGCUCGUGUUGUGAAAUGUUGGGUUAAGUCCCGCAACGAGCGCAACC